UACGUAGGGUGCGAGCGUUAAUCGGAAUUACUGGGCGUAAAGCGUGCGCAGGCGGUUCGUUGUGUCGGCGGUGAAAGCCCCGGGCUUAACCUGGGAACGGCCGUUGAAACUGGCGAACUGGAGUGUGGCAGAGGGGGGUGGAAUUCCGCGUGUAGCAGUGAAAUGCGUAGAGAUGUGGAGGAACACCGAUGGCGAAGGCAGCCCCCUGGGCUAACACUGACGCUCAGGCACGAAAGCGUGGGGAGCGAACAGG
rnacentral:rRNA from 1 species